rnacentral:lncRNA from 1 species
AUACUUACUCUCACGCCUGAGCUAUCCCCCAGCGGUCCGGCCGUCAAGCUUGUGGUGUUUGUUGUGUUUACUGUGCAGGAUCAGGACGUCUUUAGUGAUUGGGACGUGGAGAAAGAUCCUGGCGUUAAUAUUUGCGCCAGAAGAAGGGCUGUGUUCUAGUGUUCUUGAAGUUUUCAAUCACAAAUUGUAGCUGCUCUACGUCGGAAUCCAUGGUGAAGAAGAGUAGAACAGUUACCUCUAAAGGAUACCUGAUGGCUAUGACUUCGUCUACACAAAUGAGUAUCUGUCAAGGAUUGAUUGGGUCCUUCAAAAAAUGUUCAUGCUGGUACUGCUUCCAAGCAGGUUUCUGAGGGUUUUCGUUCGAGAGCCCAGGAUGAUGUUGGAAGAAGAUUGAUUUUUGCUACCAAGAGAAGACCUGACCAUGGUCAGAAAAGGGUAGAAGGCAUACUGCUUAGAAUCCUAUACCGAAGUGGUCAGACUGACAGACCGAUCAAGUUAGAAAGAAGUCUACACUUUAAAGACAUGUCUCGAGGCCUUCCCCGGGAUCGAAGCAGACCCAACAGCCAUUUUCCUGAUUGAUUGACUGAGAAGGGUAUUCCGCCCUAUUGGUCUUCGAGAUUAUGGUCGAAGCAGAGUAGAUGAAGACCCAA